CGCGUAGGCGGUCUUUUAAGUCAGAUGUGAAAGCCCUCGGCUUAACCGAGGAAGUGCAUUUGAUACUAAGAGACUUGAGUAUGGGAGAGGGAAGCGGAAUUCCUGGUGUAGCGGUGAAAUGCGUAGAUAUCAGGAGGAACACCGGUGGCGAAGGCGGCUUCCUGGACCAAUACUGACGCUGAGGCGCGAAGGCGUGGGGAGCAAACAG
rnacentral:rRNA from 1 species